rnacentral:rRNA from 1 species
GAAGAACCUUACCUGGUCUUGACAUCCGCGGAAGUUUUCAGAGAUGAGAAUGUUCCUUCGGGAACCGUGAGACAGGUGCUGCAUGGUUGUCGUCAGCUGGUGUUGUGAAAUGUUGGGUUAAGUCCCGCAACGAGCGCAACCCUUAUCCUUUGUUGCCAGCGGUCCGGCCGGGAACUCAAAGGAGACUGCCAGUGAUAAACUGGAGGAAGGUGGGGAUGACGUCAAGUCAUCAUGGCCCUUACGACCAGGGCUACACACGUGUUACAAUGGYCGCAUACAAAGAGAAGCGACCUCGCGAGAGCAACCGGACCCUCAUAAAGUGCGUCGUAGUCCGGAUUGGAGUCUGCAACUCGACUCCAUGAAGUCGGAAUCGCUAGUAAUCG